ensembl:lncRNA
GUGUGUGAGCGGAGUGUGUGAGGGGCGUGUGUGAGCGGUGUGUGUGAGCGGAGUGUGUGAGCGGUGUGUGUGAGGGGAGUGUGUGAGGGGAGUGUGUGAGCGGGGUGUGUGAGCGGUGUGUGUGAGCGGUGUGUGUGAGCGGAGUGUGUGAGCGGUGUGUGUGAGCGGUGUGUGUGAGCGGAGUGUGUGAGCGGAGUGUGUGAGGGGAGUGUGUGAGGGGAGUGUGUGAGCGGAGUGUGUGAGCGGAGUGUGUGAGCGGUGUGUGUGAGCGGUGUGUGUGAGGGGAGUGUGUGAGGGGAGUGUGUGAGCGGAGUGUGUGAGCGGAGUGUGUGAGCGGAGUGUGUGAGCGGUGUGUGUGAGAGGGGAGUGUGAGGUGAGUGUGUGAGUGGAGUGUGUGAGCGGUGUGUGUGAGCUGUGUGUGUGAGCGGUGUGUGUGAGCGGAGUGUGUGAGCGGUGUGUGUGAGCGGUGUGUGUGAGCGGUGUGUGUGAGCGGAGUGUGUGAGCGGUGUGUGUGAGCGGUGUGUGUGAGCGGUGUGUGUACCUGGUGCAGUGAGCCUG